CUUGGAAGUUGUCGUUAAGAUGGCGACCGGCUAUUGGAAGUAAACAAAUCAGCUCAUUUGGAGAGAGGAGUCUUAUGAUCUGACACGACAGGUAUCAAAGGAUUCUGGGCUGACAGAUUUAUGGACUUGCCUAAGUAGGAGAGUGGUACUUCCAUGGGGGCCAGACAUGUUCCUUCUCUUUUGAUGAUGACCCUUAGAGCCAUAGUGAUUGACACAUCACUCAGAGAGGUCCAGAGCGCUGGACAGAUCUGAAAGAAAAAGGAGAGAUUGCAAGCAAUUUAGUAAAAACAGGAACUAAAACAUCAGUUUCUCUUUAAUCUAGGUAGUUUAUUCUGGGUAAUGAAGGCGAAAUAAAUGUUAUCUCAGAAGUCUAGGGGGGAUGCCUGGCUCCUUUGCUUCGUGUUUUGCUGUAAGACCCCUGAUUUGAAAGUUGAACUGAAGAUUCAGAACUGAUGUUAAACAUUAAUUGACUUGAGCAGAUCAAGGCUGGUAAUGCCUUCUCCCUCAAGUAUCAACUUCCGUUUUUCCUCAUCCAUGAUCACCCUCAUCCAUGAGAUACAUUUGAAAAAACUGAAGAUGUUACAAACUUUUCAGUAUGACAGGCUCAUACUUAACAAAAUGUUACAGCUCUGGAGAAAUAAUGAAAGGGUACAGCUCUGCGUUGCUUUAUCUGAGCUUGCGAAACAGCUCUGAGUGGGAGCGGUCAGGAUCGAGUCGUGUUCUCACCCUUCAUCACACUUGGCACGUUCUCUUUCCGGACACAUCCAGUGGAUAAUGUGCAGACCUUCCCCAGCUAAUCUCAGGAAGACUGAAGUCUUUAGAAGGCCACUCUUCAUAUUUAGGGAUGAGAAAUCUGAGUAGACACAGGGAGCCAAUUGUCUGAGGCUGCUCAGCGAGGACCAAGGCAGCUGACCAUCCAUCCUGCAUCUACAUCUGUUCUGAAUCCAGACUCCAAACUGUCACUGUGAACCGCCAGACUUGUUUCCUCUUCACAGCCUGUAUCUGCCUUUACCUACCUUCUGCUUUAUCUCUGACUUCUUUUCUCCUCUCAGUACGCUUUCUCCACAGCACACUUGCCAAAUCCAGUUCCAAAGAGUCGUCAACACGAGCGGAAUGGGACUGCACUGGGCAGUCAACGUCAAGGACUUGGUAGCUGGAUUCCAUCUAAUUCAGCUUCUAAGAAUUACGUUAGUGACCAUGAUGCUUGCACUAAAUCACGCAUUAGCAGUGGCCUUGAAUAGAUCAGUUCAUAAUCAAUAAUUCUUUUGUUUCCAGCUUAUU